GCAAGUUUCCAGUCCACCUGAAAAAUCUCCAGCAAAUCUCUUUUAGUUUUCAGGGUUUUCGGCUCUGCUCUGCUACUUGAUGCUUGCAGGGCCAAUUUGAUGCUCUCUCCUGUUGGAAGUCUUACAAGUUUGUCGUGUCUGGGUUGCUAGAAGACCACCAGGAUAUGCAUUUGUUGAGUUUGAUGAUGACAGAGAUGCAAUGGAUGCAAUUCGUUCCUUGGAUGGU